AAGCUUUUCAUACUAGGUGAUGCAAGUUCAGAUAUUAUUUAAUGUGAAAAGUCAUCCGAUAAAAGUUGGACUUAAAGUCGGAGAUAAUCGAAUCAACUUUCACCCACUUUAUAACUCGUUUUUUAUAGAGAAAAUCCACGCUUCAAAAAAGAAGUGAAGUGAGGCUUUCCAAGCCGAACGAAAUGAGGACUUUCCUUUUCAAACUUGUAACCACUCCCCCCGAGGGGGACGAGGCCAUAGGCCGAAGGGGGGAAACGAACCAUAAAUGGAAGGUAAGUUUCUCCGACACAACUCCGAUCGGAGAAACUUUCACUUGUAAGGACUCCCUCCGAGGGGGUUGGGGGG
rnacentral:lncRNA from 1 species